UGAAUUGAAGUUGCACGACCAGUCAAAAU
rnacentral:sRNA from 1 species